rnacentral:lncRNA from 1 species
GGUAUCUUCCGUGGAGAAAAAAUACAGCGACCGAGCUGCCAUAUAUAUAUAUAUACACAGUAUAUAUAUUCGCUUAGAUCGAAAAGAAGUGAUUCGUCUGUACUUGUGAUAAUCGAGCUUAUUGUAAAAGGGAAGAAACGGAAGAAAAUUCACACAAUACGAUUUUGUUACAAAUAAAGAAUAUUUCCAGCGUAAAAUAUCGAAUUUAUAUAACAGAUAAAAAGUCAAGCAUCUAAGUCCUACAACCUUCCGCUGACCCCAUCUUGGUUACUAGCCGGCCGGUGAGGGAUUCUAAAAAUGGCCGCCGUCAGCGAUAUAGCGAGUACGAGUCGGCGACGUAAUAAAAUUAGCGUAAUCACGCAACAUUCACUUAUGACGACGUGAUUCGGUAAGUCGUCUAUCAAAUAAAAAGGAAGAAAAAGUAAAAAUUUAGACAGUAUUUUUCGUUAUCAAAUACAAUUCUAGCGGUACUCGGCUUAGUCCCAGAAAUUUAUUUCCAACCGACUAUCGUCUUACGGCGCACGCGUGUGACGCCAUUUAUGACUCUUCCUACCAACUGGCGGCCGAUCGCAUUUUUGCGACGUUUCCCGUCAUGGCGUCGUAUGGAUUUUAUCCACGAUGACAAUUCCUGACGUCAUAAAUGAUUAUCUUCGGAUGAAGUCGGACGAGUGGCGAGUCAUAGAUUUCUGUUUCAAACAGAAGCUGAAUACUGAAAAUUUAAAUGCCAUAUUUUGGUUACUAUCCCAAAAUGUCCCAGAAGGAGCGAUUUUGACGCGCUAACCGAUAGAGUGAUGAACAGUGGCCAGAAGUAGUUUGGUAGAUAGAGCAAAUGGCGUGGAAAGGCGGGCGGAACAGACCAAGAAACAUAGUGUUUUAUAUUUUAAGAGAAUCAAAUUUGCGGAAUUUAGUGUGUGACGUUUAUAACUGGAUAAAAUCGAUGGCAGUCGACGGAGCGCAGAAGGAACAAAAGACCGAGUAAUGGUCGAUCAGUCGAUCGAUCCUAGCGGUUAACAGUUUAGAGGAAAAGUUAAUCUAUAGACGAUGAAAUUAUUUUGAUAAUAUUCAGCCAGCUGAUAUAUAAUCGUCGACUAAUGGCCAAUAAUACCCAGUUUUUAAUUUGCAAUUAUUUUUAUGGUGGGGUGGCACUCGUAACCACCAUUCUUAUCGGGUAGAUAACGAAUCGUUUAGGAAUUCGAUAUGGUCCGUCGUUUCGUUAAUUAAUUGACAUUUCGGAUUUUGAAAAUCCUGAAUAGAAAAUUAAGUCGAGGAAAGUAAAAGUUUCUCAUAAUUUGUCUCUAAACCUCGUAACAUAAAAAUAUAAGUAUAUUCUUUCUAUAAAAGAGUUAGUAGAUCAUUUUAAAUAAUAAGAAGUGAUGGGCAGACCACCACCCUUUUCGACACACGUGACCGAGAUUCCAUUUGGCCACCAAUCGUCUCCAUCCAUAUUUAUUCCGUGGCCGAUCUGGCCUCUGGAGAUUUGGUCUUCUCAGUUACGGCUCCGAAUAUAUCCAUAACCCUAAAUUGAACCGAUUUAUUUAAUAUUGAGCAGUUUUUCCAAUCAUCCGAUACCGACACAGUCCAUUGACAGUCUGUGUGGCCGGAAGGGCGCAUCCGGCGGCCCGCCUGGUGAGAGAGGUGACUCGGAAUUUUUCGAUUCAUGCCGCUCUCGCAUCUCAGUUGCCAAAGUCGCGUCUUUGGUGGCAGCCGGCCGAUACGGAAGACACUACCCGACCAUGGAAUUUCGAAUCGAACAAAUGGAAAAAGUGUGACCAGUGAAAAAACGAUAGCCGUUAUCCCGGCCAUAAAUGAAAUAAUUGCGCAGAUGAUUCGGACUAAUACCAAAAUGACUCUCAAUCUUAAAAUGUCGACGAGAUUUUUUAAAUUUCAUUCGACCCACCAAUGGAAACGGAAUAAUACUAGCAGGAAAUGGUAGAAACAGGUUCAUUUUAAGUACCGACCAAUACGUCCUUUCACCGUCUACCAUCUUCGCACCGAGGUCGAAGAAAUCAGUCGACUUUAGAAAACUGGUCGAAGUUUAGAUGUUUUUUGAUCAACAGAGGACGGCACGUUCCAUUCGAUAAGAGUAGUAAGUGGCGGGACCAAAUAAGCCCUACUGUUGGCUGCCCGUGCCGACCGAGGCGUGAGUCGAAUGAUGGAGAACGGGGAUCGACGAGGCCAUCGUAAAUAUUUCCCAGAGAGAUACUCGAAUCCGAGUUCUCCGGAGAGAAAAGCCGAAACGUUUCCACGCAGUCAAUCCGUUCGACCAUUUUUAAUUUCGUCUACUCUUUUCUACGGUUCAUUCGCUCUAUAUCUGGUAAAGAUCGCCGAUGGCAAUGAAAUCGUAUAAUUUAAAGUACUUUGCGAGAAAUAACAGUUCUAUCGGUUGGGAUGGAAGAAGUUUGUUAGUCGGAACUAUAGAAAGAUGGCGCGCUCAGCAAAUUUCACUGGCCACUGUCCGCAUGGCCCGCCGAGCCCUCUAUGUCUAGUACGUAACUUUUCGCUGUAGAUGUACGGAUGGCGGUAUCGAUGAUAAAUCGGUGGUCGGAUGGUAGCGUACGUGUCGGCGAUGGCAUCACCACGUACGUCAGGCUAGACGUAGUAGUGGUAUUUGAUCCGAACGCUAUACCCUACCUCGUUCUCGGCAUUUCGAUACUCAUCCCACAAUUGGCAAUUCACGUUAUUCGGUUUUCGAAUGUAUUAACAAAGGGCGGUUAAAAAGGACACGAAAAUAAACGCCUGUCACCUCUCGGGAGAUAUUAAGAUUUAUUCUUAGGUUAAUCUACAACGUCUUCGCUUACUCGACUGUAACCUACGUGUUGUCACUUUAUUGUCUAAAAUAGAAUCGACCAUAGAUAACAGUAUAAUCGAUAUUAGAAACGCUGGGUUCUGUUGUAUUUUGACGGUCCACUUUCAACGGGCAUUUCGAGUGUCGAUAGAUAAGAGUCCGCUCCGCUGGUCGAAAGCGGAAAAACUUUGACCUUGACGAACUUCCGUAGCGUCACGGUUUGUUGACAGGCGGUUGAAAGAUAUUAAAUACAAUUUUUUAUUUGAAAAGUCAUUACGCAAAUAUUAUUAUUAUUAUUAUUAUUAUUAUUAUAUUGCCAACGAAUACUUACCAGGAGAAAAGCCCGU